rnacentral:rRNA from 1 species
AGCGAACGCUGGCGGCAGGCCUAACACAUGCCAGUCGAACGAACCUUUCGGGGUUAGUGGCGGACGGGUGAGUAACACGUGGGAACGUGCCUUUAGGUUCGGAAUAACUCAGGGAAACUUGUGCUAAUACCGAAUGUGCCCUUCGGGGGAAAGAUUUAUCGCCUUUAGAGCGGCCCGCGUCUGAUUAGCUAGUUGGUUGAGGUAAUGGCUCACCAAGGCGACGAUCAGUAGCUGGUCUGAGAGGAUGAUCAGCCACAUUGGGACUGAGACACGGCCCAAACUCCUACGGGAGGCAGCAGUGGGGAAUCUUGCGCAAUGGGCGAAAGCCUGACGCAGCCAUGCCGCGUGAAUGAUGAAGGUCUUAGGAUUGUAAAAUUCUUUCACCGGGGACGAUAAUGACGGUACCCGGAGAAGAAGCCCCGGCUAACUUCG